rnacentral:snoRNA from 1 species
AAGCAAUGAUGAAAAUCUUUUUGUGCCAUAGCCGGCCUCUUUCCAGUGGUCGUCGGUGAUGGCUACACAUCCCUCUAAGAAGUUCUGAGCUU